rnacentral:rRNA from 1 species
UACGGAGGGGGCUAGCGUUGUUCGGAAUUACUGGGCGUAAAGCGUGCGCAGGCGGUUUUGUAAGUCAGAUGUGAAAUCCCCGGGCUCAACCUGGGAACUGCGUUUGAAACUACAAGGCUAGAGUGUAGCAGAGGGGGAUGGAAUUCCGCGUGUAGCAGUGAAAUGCGUAGAUAUGCGGAGGAACACCGAUGGCGAAGGCAAUCCCCUGGGCCUGCACUGACGCUCAUGCACGAAAGCGUGGGGAGCAAACAGG